GAUGAACGCUGGCGGCGUGCCUAAUACAUGCAAGUCGAGCGAACGGACGGGAAGCUUGCUUCUCUGAUGUUAGCGGCGGACGGGUGAGUAACACGUGGAUAACCUUCCUAUAAGACUGGGAUAACUUCGGGAAACCGGAGCUAAUACCGGAUAAUAUUUUGAACCGCAUGGUUCAAAAGUGAAAGACGGUCUUGCUGUCACUUAUAGAUGGAUCCGCGCUGCAUUAGCUAGUUGGUAAGGUAACGGCUUACCAAGGCAACGAUGCAUAGCCGACCUGAGAGGGUGAUCGGCCACACUGGAACUGAGACACGGUCCAGACUCCUACGGGAGGCAGCAGUAGGGAAUCUUCCGCAAUGGGCGAAAGCCUGACGGAGCAACGCCGCGUGAGUGAUGAAGGUCUUCGGAUCGUAAAACUCUGUUAUUAGGGAAGAACAUAUGUGUAAGUAACUGUGCACAUCUUGACGGUACCUAAUCAGAAAGCCACGGCUAACUACGUG
rnacentral:rRNA from 1 species